CCUACGGCGUGCAGCAGUGGGGAAUAUUGGACAAUGGGCGAAAGCCUGAUCCAGCCAUGCCGCGUGUGUGAAGAAGGCCUUCGGGUUGUAAAGCACUUUCAGUGGGGAAGAAAGCCUUGGGGCUAAUACCCUCGAGGAAGGACAUCACCCACAGAAGAAGCACCGGCUAACUCCGUGCCAGCAGCCGCGGUAAUACGGAGGGUGCGAGCGUUAAUCGGAAUUACUGGGCGUAAAGCGCGCGUAGGCGGUCUGAUAAGCCGGUUGUGAAAGCCCCGGGCUCAACCUGGGAACGGCAUCCGGAACUGUCAGGCUAGAGUGCAGGAGAGGAAGGUAGAAUUCCCGGUGUAGCGGUGAAAUGCGUAGAGAUCGGGAGGAAUACCAGUGGCGAAGGCGGCCUUCUGGACUGACACUGACGCUGAGGUGCGAAAGCGUGGGUAGCAAACAGGAUUAGAUACCCGAUAGUC
rnacentral:rRNA from 1 species